rfam:Aedes albopictus isolate Foshan contig154967, whole genome shotgun sequence.
GACUUCGUAGCUUAGAGGUUCAAGAAGCACCCAUCUAGCCAAUAGGAAGUCGUAGGUUCGAUUCCCACCGGAGCA